rnacentral:rRNA from 1 species
AUUGAACGCUGGCGGCAUGCUUUACACAUGCAAGUCGAACGGUAACAGGUUAAGCUGACGAGUGGCGAACGGGUGAGUAAUGCAUCGGAACGUGCCCGAUCGUGGGGGAUAACGCAGCGAAAGCUGCGCUAAUACCGCAUACGAUCUGAGGAUGAAAGCGGGGGACCGUAAGGCCUCGCGCGAUCGGAGCGGCCGAUGGCAGAUUGGGUAGUUGGUGAGGUAGAGGCUCACCAAGCCAACGAUCUGUAGCUGGUCUGAGAGGACGACCAGCCACACUGGGACUGAGACACGGCCCAGACUCCUACGGGAGGCAGCAGUGGGGAAUUUUGGACAAUGGGCGAAAGCCUGAUCCAGCAAUGCCGCGUGCAGGAAGAAGGCCUUCGGGUUGUAAACUGCUUUUGUACGGAGCGAAAAGGUCUCCUCUAAUACAGGGGGCUCAUGACGGUACCGUAAGAAUAAGCACCGGCUAACUACGUGCCAGCAGCCGCCGUAAUAC